UAUUUGUGAGAGUCGCGCAUAUUGAAAAGAAGAACCUCUGGAAGAGGAAAAAGCUUGUUUUGACGAACGAGAUACGUCGGGGUGUUGAUUAGCAAGGAUUCGGGCACCACAUUGAGGUUUUCGAGAAGCAAAUUGAAGAAGAAGAACCUCUAGAAGAGGAAGAAGCUCGUUUUGACGAACGAGAUACAUCGGGGUGUUGAUUAGCAGGGAUUUGGGCACCGCAUUGAGGUUUUUGAACAAUGCCUUGAAGAAGAAGAAGCUCGAACAACUUAUCGACUCUGAUCUUGUGUGAUGUCUUGGAAUGGGUAAGUUAAUUGGCCGUUCAAAGAAUGUGAUAAGUCAUCGUCCGACCCAAAAGAAUGGAUGCACAUCUAGGCUAAGAGCUCGGGUAUCAUCAGAAAGAAAAUGGGAGAUCACUUCCUUUGAGGAUGAACAUAAUCAUGCAUUGAGUCCCAGUAAAUCAAGCUUUCUUUCAUGCAAUAGGAGUAUGAAUCAACAUGUGCAGAGACAAGCCUAACAAGAAUCACAACGCACAGGUUAUUGUAGCAGAAGGACAUGACAAUUUACCCUUUUUGAUGAGGGAUACUUGAAAUCUUAUUGCGAAAGUGAGGCGUAUGCGAAUGGACAAAGGUAAUGCUAAUGCAAUCCAGAGUUAUUUUGCUAAGAUGCAAUCUAAUAAUGAUGGUUUUUUUCAUUCAUUGAUUGGGAUGAGAAAGGGUUAAUAAGUAUUUUCUGGGAUGAGAAAGCAAGGUUAAAAAGUGUUUAGUCGUGAACUUCAAGCUUUUGACCAAUUUACCAAUAGUUUUAAUAUUAGACUUGUAUUGCAAGGGUAAA